rnacentral:rRNA from 1 species
AAUUGGAGGGCAAGUCUGGUGCCAGCAGCCGCGGUAAUUCCAGCUCCAAUAGCGUAUAUUAAAGUUGUUGCAGUUAAAAAGCUCGUAGUUGAAUUUCGGGACUGACAGGUUGGUCGCGCCUUCGGUGUGUACUGGCCUAGUCGGUUUCUCCCUUCUGACGAACCACGAUGUCAUUAAUUUGGUGUCGUGGGGAAUCAGGACUGUUACUUUGAAAAAAUUAAAGUGUUUAAAGCAGGCUUAGGCUUGAAUACAUUAGCAUGGAAUAAUGAAAUAGGACGUUUGACCCUAUUUUGUUGGUUUCUAGGAUCGACGUAAUGAUUAAUAGGGAUAGUUGGGGGCAUUAGUAUUCAAUUGUCAGAGGUGAAAUUCUUGGAUUUAUUGAAGACUAACUACUGCGAAAGCAUUUGCCAAGGAUGUUUUCAUUAAUCAAGAACGAAAGUUAGGGGAUCGAAGACGAUCAGAUACCGUCGUAGUCUUAACCAUAAACUAUGCCGACUAGGGAUCGGAUGAUGUUAAUUUUAUAAUGACUCAUUCGGCGCCUUACGGGAAACCAAAGUGU